UACAAAAACAGAGUAUUGAAAAGGACCGCGUGGCAUCAGUUGGUGGAAAUAUUCUCAAAAGAAGGUUGCUCAGAGGAGCAAAAGAAAAUUCUUGGGAAUACAUUGCAAAAGAGAUGGAAGAGUCUGCGUGACAAUUUUGCCAGGGAAUUGA